UCUGCAAAACAUAACUUGUGCUGUCAAGAGUCCCAUGGCUGAUCGCUAGGCCUCUUGUCCGGAUUCGAUCUAGGUGGAAGGUGUGCCGUAUAUCAUUUCGGAAUAAUAUGAAUGCCUAUGCAAGAUCGACGAGUCCCAGCAGAAUGUAUGUGAAUUGUCUUGGGAAACUUGCCCAUACUUUUGGGCUCUGCAGCUAUAUCUUGGUCGCAAUCGGAAUAUUUUUCAUCGUCUCGCGACAACUAGGAGGAGAAGUAUGCAGUGCAGCUCCAUUUAUUAGCGUGGACGUUCCAGGUUCUGAGGUAGAGCGCUACACACCUGUAGACUGGGACGAAGUGGACCCGUUCCUCCAAUAAUAAAAAUUAUCACGGUAAA